CCUACGGGGGGCAGCAGUGAGGAAUAUUGGUCAAUGGGCUUACGCCUGAACCAGCCAAGUCGCGUGAGGGAAGACUGCCCUAUGGGUUGUAAACUUCUUUUAUAUGGGAAUAAAAUGUUCCACGUGUGGGAUUUUGUAUGUACCAUAUGAAUAAGGAUCGGCUAACUCCGUGCCAGCAGCCGCGGUAAUACGGAGGAUCCGAGCGUUAUCCGGAUUUAUUGGGUUUAAAGGGAGCGUAGAUGGGUUGUUAAGUCAGUUGUGAAAGUUUGCGGCUCAACCGUAAAAUUGCAAUUGAUACUGGCAGUCUUGAGUACAGUUGAGGUAGGCGGAAUUCGUGGUGGAGCGGUGAAAUGCUUAGAUAUCACGAAGAACCCCGAUUGCGAAGGCAGCUUACUAAACUGUGACUGACAUUGAUGCUCGAAAGUGUGGGUAUCAAACAGGAUUAGAUACCCGUGUAGUC
rnacentral:rRNA from 1 species